rnacentral:misc_RNA from 1 species
GAUGAAGAACGCAGCGAAAUGCGAUAAGUAGUGUGAAUUGCAGAAUUCAGUGAAUCAUCGAAUCUUUGAACGCACAUUGCGCCCCUCGGUAUUCCGUGGGGCAUGCCUGUUCGAGCGUCAUUUACCCCUCAAGCACUGCUUGGUGUUGGGCGUCUGUCCCGCUUCGCGCGCGGACUCGCCCCAAAGGUAUUGGCAGCGGUCGUGCCAGCUUCUCGCGCAGCACAUUGCGCUUCUCGAGGCGGUCGAUCGGCGUCCACGAAGCUCACCUCCACCGUUUGUCCUCGGAUCAGGUAGGGAUACCCGCUGAACUUAAGCAUAUCAAUAAGCGGAGGA